AGAAUUCAUUUCCUGUGUCCAGACAGCUGUAAGGAAAGAUAUAGAGAUCUCAUCCUUGCUCAGGCUGGUCUGGAACAUCUCAACUCAAGCAAUCCACCUUCCUGGGCCUCUGAGAGUGCGAAGAUUACAGACAUGAGCCACCUUGCCAGCCUUUUUACCCACGUCUUAAUCAGUGUGCAGAAUGGGAAGAGGAAAAGAGACUAACUUCAAAUGGAGAAAGCCAGCAAACACCAUCUCACCAUGAUCAGAAUUAGCACCAACAGCAAUAAACUCACAUUGAUUUACAUAUAUUGAACCAGCAAGCCUUCCUCAGGAGAACGGAAAGAGAGGAAGUAAGCAACUUAAUGGGACAUCUCAAGAGACUGGAAAUGGAAGAACACUCCAACCCCAAAUCCAGUAGAAGAAAAGAAAUAACCAAAAAUCAGAGCAGAACUAAAUGAAAUUGAAAACAAAAGAAUAAUACAACAGAUCAAUAAAUCAAAAAGCUGGUUUUUUGAAAAGAUCAACAAAAUAGAUAAACCUUUGGCCAACCUAAUCAGGAAAAAAAGAGUAAAAUCUCUAAUAUCAUCAAUCAGAAAUAACAAAGACGAAAUAACAACAGACUCCUCAGAAAUCCAUAAAAUCCUUAAUGAAUAUUACAAGAAACUUUACUCUCAUAAAUAUGAAAAUCUGAAUGAAAUUGACCAUUACUUGGAAGCACGUCACCUUCAAAGACUUAACUAAAAUCAAGUGGAAAUGUUGAACAGGCCCAUAUCAAGUUCGGAAAUAACAUGAACCAUACAAAAUCUCCCCAAAAAGAAAAGCCCGGGACCAGAUGGUUUUACGUCAGAAUUCUACCAAACCUUGAAAGAGGAAUUAGUACCUAUAUUACUCAACCUGUUCCAAAAGGUAGAAAAAGAAGGAAGACUACCCAACACGUUCUAUGAAGCAAACAUCACUCUG